CGACCGGCGCACGGGUGAGUAACACGUAUCCAACCUGCCGAUAACUCGGGGAUAGCCUUCUGAAAGGAAGAUUAAUACAAGAUGGCAUCAUGAGUCCGCAUGUUCACAUGAUUAAAGGUAUUCCGGUAGACGAUGGGGAUGCGUUCCAUUAGAUAGUAGGCGGGGUAACGGCCCACCUAGUCUUCGAUGGAUAGGGGUUCUGAGAGGAAGGUCCCCCACAUUGGAACUGAGACACGGUCCAAACUCCUACGGGAGGCAGCAUG
rnacentral:rRNA from 1 species